rnacentral:rRNA from 1 species
GAUGAACGCUGGCGGCGCGCCUAACACAUGCAAGUCGAACGAUUAAAGCACCUUCGGGUGUGUAUAAAGUGGCGAACGGCUGAGUAACACGUGGGCAACCUGCCCCUCUCAUUGGGAUAGCCACGGGAAACCGUGGAUAAUACCGAAUACUUCGGGACUUCCGCAUGGAAGACUCGAGAAAGCUCCGGCGGAGAGGGAUGGGCCCGCGGCCUGUUAGCUUGUUGGUGGGGUAAUGGCCUACCAAGGCAAUGAUGGGUAGCUGGGUUGAGAGACCGACCAGCCAGUUGGGGAAUGGGACACGGCCCAGACCCCUAGGGGAGGGAGGGGGGGGGAAUUUUGACAAAGGGGGGAAAGCCUGAGGCGGGGCCGCCGGGGGGGGGAGGAAGGCCUUGGGGUGGUAAACCGCUUUCACGGGGGACGGGGGGAAAGGGACGGUACCGGCAGAAGAACCCCCGGCAAACUACGG